AAAUAGUGUUCCUAAAUAUUUUUAAUAGAUUAUAUUUGAUUCUAAAAUUAUUCUACUAUUCAAUUUUAUCAAAAUAUCUAUUCAUAUCUAUCCAUAUUCUUUUAUAAAAUCCCUAAUUUCUAACCCUAAUUCCCAAAUUGGAAAACCCUAACCCUAAUUUUUCCCCUUUCCCCAUCCCUGAAGCACGCAGCCCCCACCCCCUUUCUUCCUAAACACAAAACGCACACAAAACAGAAAAAGAAACGCAGAGAUAGAGAGGGAGAAGAGAAGACCGCAAGCUGCCACCGCGUCGCCAUUACUGAGCUGCAGCACCGCCGUCUAGCCUCGUCCCGCCGUGUUACCAUGGUCACCGUUGCUGUUGCAAGGAAAGGGGAGAGGGCCGAAGCUGCACGUCCGAGGGAGAAGGGUGGAUGCUGUUCACCGUGCCGCCUCCUUGGAGCUCGCCAUCGAGCUGCUUCGUAGCGCCGUCCCGUCCAUAGAGCCCAAGCCCGCGUCGCCAUUGUUCAUUCGCAUUCUACCGCUGCCGCUUCAAGGCUCUGUCAUCGCUGCUGACGUUGCCGAAAGGAGGAGAGCGACCACCACGAGGAGCCACCACCGCGAGGGUUCCGCCGCCGUCGUUCCAGUGCCGCCGUUCAUGCCUUCUGUUCCCUUCGUCGUUCUGUCCAGCAUCAUCAGCACUGAAGUCAGCUUCUACCAUCGUCAAGCUUUGUUGGAGCUGGUGCUGUUUUUGGAGGUUUGAAGUGGAGGCUUGCCCAGUUCUGUCUCUGCUCUUGGUUCUUGCACCUGCCGGAGCCUCUGCCGCCAUCAAAGCUGCUGUGGAUUCGUAAUAUUGGGUUUACCGUAUUUAAAUUCUGCAAAUUUUGACACUCUGAGUGACACAGGUUCGAAGAUACAGUUUGAAGCUGCGGGCGAUUAUAGAAUUUAUUUAUGAGUUAAAUGUAUGAGUUAAUUUGCUUUCAUAGAAUUUCCUCGCUUUUGUAGCUUUAGUUUUUUUAUUUUACACAGAGGGAUAGGAUUUGUAUCUAAGUUUUAUUGGAAAUCUUUUGUAUGACAGAUAUUAUUAUUAGUAAUUAUGUGAUUAUUAGUACUUAGUGAUGUUUGCUAUAUGAUUUUAAUUAUCAAAAACAAAAUUUUCUGGUAUUUUUACUAAAUUUGAAUCGCGAUGUCGAACUAGAGGCUCAGUAGUAAAUAGUUAAUAAAGGAAAGCAGGUUGGUAACGCCUUACUUUUGGUACGAUCAUGACGUUCUAGAAGUUGGGUCGUUACACUUUCCUUCCUGUUUCUCUUCGAUGGCCACCACAAAGAGAGAGAAAAAGCUUCUUAAUGGGGAGACAGGCAAGUCAAUCUGCACAAUCUAUAGAGAAAGACAUCAGUUGGAGCAGUCCGUCCACUUGUACAUCUUAGCAUGCACCGAGGACGGUGCAAUCUUUAAGUGUGGGGAGGUCGAUACCGAUCUCCACGGGUUAGUUAUUCUCUUCUCAACACCAAUAUUCUAUUUUCUUUGUUUGUUCAUUCUUGCAUUGCAUAAUAGAUUGCAUGUGUAGUUGCUUGUUUGCAUUUAAGUACUACUUUGUUGAAAAAUAAUAAGUUUCUUUUUAAGACCUUAUUUUUGAAAAAUUUUCACCAAUUUAAAUUAAAAAAAUUAAAAUUUUCUAUGUGUUAAAUUUGUUUGGAAGUUGUAAUUGGAACAUGGAUUUUGAGCUAAAGAACACACAACCCGUGAAAACUGAGCCUAAAUAUAUGGUUACAUUAUUUAACCAUAAAUUUUUAUUCUUGUGUGUUUUCUUCUCCAUAAUUGCAAUCUUUGCUUUGUUCCAUUCUAUAUGUCCAUUAUUUAGUGUAUUUACAUGCUUGCAUAUGAUUGAGGCCAUUAUUUGUAUUUUUGCUUACUUAUCCCAAAUAAACCUACCUUUUAUGCCAUCUUUGUUAGCCUUCUUGAGCUUUUUAACCCCCUUAUAUUUCAUAACCACAUUACUAGCCUUAAGCUGAAAAACAAAAUAAAAAAUCCCAAGUUGAAUCCCUGGUUAGCUUAAGAUAGAUAUUGUGUAUAAUUUAAGUGUGGGGAAUUUUAUGGGAACAUAAGAUGAUAAGAAAAAAAAGGGAAUUAAAUUGAACAAGAUGUUUCAAGGUUUGGGAAGCAUGCUCAUGUGAAAUCAAAAUAAUUAAAUCACCAUGUGCAUUGAAAAAAACAAGAAAAAAGAAAAAAAUUUAUUAAGUGAUUAAAUAAGGAAAUACAAAAAAAAUAUUACCCCAAAUGCAAAAUAAAAAGAAUCAAUGCACAUGGGACAAAAUUCAAAAAUAAGUUUGAUACAUGAGCAUGUAAUACAAAAGUGGAAAAAAUUUGGGCAGCUAGGUAAAGCAUUUUAAAUUAUAUAAAGUAUGUAUGUUAAGUAAGAUCUUAGACUACUCAAGGAUUCACUUUGUUAGCUCACUUAGCCUUAUAUAUACAUCCUUACCUUUACCUCAGCCUCAUUACAACCUUGAAAAGACCUCAUGAUGUUUGCAUUGGUACAUUAAAUAUUUAUUGAUUGAUUAGAUGAAGAACAAAGUUUAGAAAGCAUGAUUAGAGAAGAGUAGAGUGAAUUACCCUAUACACUUGAGAGACUAGAGUGAUAUACACUACCAGUAAGGGUUCAAUGCUUGAUUCUAUGUUCCCUACUUUCAUGAGCUAUCUUCUUACAAGUUUACUUGUCUUUUAUUAUAUGAUUUGAAUUAGUGGAAUUUGAAUCAUAUUUGUCUUGGAGAACUUAUUUACUUUUAACCAAGUAGGUAGAAACAUUUUGCAUGUAGUUGCAUUCACAUAGAUAGGUUGCAUUUCAUACUCUCUAUCAUUCUUCUUCACUCCUAUAUAGCUUCUCUUAAGCUUAGCAUGAGGACAUGAUAAUGUUUAAGUGUGGGGAGGUUGAUAAACCACUAUUUCAUGGUUUAUCUUGUGCUCAAUUGAGUGGUUUUUAUCAACUCUUUACCAACUUAUUCAUACUAUUUGCAUGGUUUUACAAUUCCUUCCCAGAAUUUGUGCUAUGAUUGAAAACAUGCUUCUUUGGUCUUAAUUUUGCUAUGUUUAAUCCUCUCUUAUUACCAUUCGAUGCCGUGAUAUGUGUGUUAAGUGAUUUCAGAGAUUACAGGGUAGGAAUGGCUUAGAAGAUGGGAAAGGAAGCAUGCAAAUGUGGAAGGAAUACAAGAAGUUGAAGAAAUUGCUAAGCUAUCCAGCCUGACCUCUUCGCACUCAAACGGUCAUAACUUGAGAUGGUUCUAGUUGCGUUGGAAAGCUAACAUUUGGGGCUUCAAAAUCCGAAGUUAGGCGACGCGAACGCGUGGAUGACGCGCCUGCUUUGCAUCUGCAAAUUUCAAUCCACGUAAACGCGUGGAUGACGCCUCCGCCUCACUUUACCGCGACCUGUACGAACCAACAGCGAUUUUUGGGCUUUUUUGACCCAGUUUUUGGCCCAGAAGACACAGAUUAAAGGCUAUAAAGUGAGGGAAUGCAUCCAUUCAUCAGAUAUAUCAUAUACAACAUACAUUCAUUCAUAAAUCACACUUUUCGUAAUUUAGAUAUAGUUUUUAGAGAGAGAGAGGCUCUCUCCUCUCUCUUAGGAAUUAGGAUUAGGAUUCCUCUUAAAAGACUUAGGAAUAUUUUCAUCUUCUAUAAUUACAGGUUUAAUGUUCCUUUUAUUUAUCUUUUCAAUCUAAUUUAUGAACUUGUCCAUGUUAGAAUUGAUAUCUUUUAUAAUUUGAGGUA